GGUUAUGGCUCAGUGGUAGAGUGCUCACCUAGCACGUGGGAAGUGCUGAGUUCAAUCCUCAGCACCA
rnacentral:tRNA from 1 species